CCCACCCACCCCCACAUCGGCCGCGCGCCGCCCAUGCCUCACCCCCCUCUCGUCGCCGUCGCCGCCGCCACCCUCCGCCGCCGCCUCCUCCUCUCCUCGCCGCUCGCCUCCUUCUCCUCCUCCCGCACCCGCCGCAUCCUCCCCCGCGCCAUGGAGUCCUCCACCACCGCCGCCGCGGAGCACGCAGGUGGCGCGGCGGCGGGGGAGUACGAGGAGGUGCUGGGGCGCCUCUCCUCGCUCAUCACGCAGAAGGUGCGCGCCGACACCGGCAACCGCGGCAACCAGUGGGACCUCAUGGCCCGCUACCUCCAGAUUCUGGAGCUGGAGGAGCCCAUCGCGCGGAUGAAGGUCAUCCAUGUCGCCGGCACCAAAGGGAAGGGUUCGACAUGCACAUUCACGGAGUCAAUCCUGCGAUCCUGUGGCUUCCGUACCGGGCUAUUCACAUCACCGCAUUUGAUGGAUGUCCGGGAGCGGUUCCGGCUAGAUGGGGUGGAUAUUUCUGAAGAGAAGUUUUUGAAGUACUUCUGGUGCUGCUGGAAUAAACUGAAGGAGAAGACUGAUGAUGAUAUUCCCAUGCCAGCGUAUUUCAGGUUCAUGGCCUUGCUCGCAUUCAAGAUCUUUUCUGCUGAGCAGGUAGAUGUAGCUCUUCUCGAGGUUGGUCUUGGAGGGAAGUUCGAUGCAACUAAUGUGGUUAAAUCUCCUGUAGUCUGUGGAAUAUCCUCUCUUGGAUAUGAUCAUAUGGAAAUUCUUGGAAAUACGCUUGGUGAAAUUGCUGGGGAGAAGGCUGGAAUUUUCAAGAAAGGAGUUCCAGCUUACACUGCUCCACAGCCAGAAGAGGCAAUGGUUGCUCUCAAACGAAGAGCUUCAGAAUUGGGCAUUUCACUCCAAGUCGUUGAUCCUUUGAAGCCACAUCAGUUGAAAGAUCAACAUCUUGGACUGCAAGGUGAACACCAAUAUGAAAAUGCUGGCCUUGCAGUCGCACUCGCUAGUACAUGGCUUGAGAAGCAGGGACACGUGGACAGAAUGCCACUCAACCACACUGAUCCCUUACCAGAUCAGUUCAUUAGAGGGCUGUCAAGUGCUUCUUUGCAAGGCCGAGCGCAAAUUGUUCCAGAUUCACAAGUAAAUUCAGAAGAGAAGGGCCAAGAUAGUUCUUUGGUAUUCUAUUUGGAUGGGGCACACAGCCCUGAAAGUAUGGAAAUAUGUGCGAGGUGGUUUUCCCAUGCUACCAAGGAGCAGUCUCAGACUUGCAGCAAAUCUCGGAAGGUAUUUCUCACAGCCUGUCUAGUUUUAUCAUGUUUGAGUGACUUGCUUUUGCAUGUAUCGUUUCAGUCUUCUCCCUCAUACGGGUGUCUUCUAUGGGACACAUUGCAGAUUCUUCUAUUCAACUGCAUGUCUGUGAGAGAUCCUAUGAGAUUGCUUCCACAUCUCGUUGAUACUGCAACUCAAAAUGGGGUGCACUUUGAUCUGGCCCUAUUUGUGCCAAAUCAGUCACAACACAACAAGCUUGGUUCUAAGGCAUCAGCACCUGCUGGUCCUGAGCAAAUUGAUUUGUCAUGGCAGCUAUCUCUCCAAGCAGUGUGGGAGAAAUUACUUCAUGAUGAUAAUAAAGGUUCGCCUGAACUUGGUUGCUUACAAGCUUUAGUCACUUGUGUUAUGAAAUGAGCUUCUAUUCCACGGGGCCAGCAGUACAUAUACAUGCGAGGGAAAUAAGCAAAGAAGCCCCUGUACAUUAUGAGAACUACAAAAAGUUCAAACAGCACGGAUUCUGGCGAGACUAGCCUAGUGUUUGAAUCACUGCCACUAGCAAUUGAGUGGCUAAGGAAAAAUGCGGUAGAGGAUCCAUCCACUUCUUAUCAGGUCCUGGUUACUGGCUCUCUGCAUCUCAUCGGCGAUGUACUGAGGUUGCUCAAGAAGUGACAUUUUUUUGGAACAUUAUACAGUUGGAAGCUGAUACUGAAGUAGCUAUACUGAAUAGUGUGACCCCAAGCCGGGGCUCUUGAUGUUUUCGAGAUCUUCCCAGGGCAAGCACAUGGUUUACAGAAAUGCGACAAGCAGUUUGGAAGUGCUUUGCCUGCGAUGCGAAUCGGGCAGCAAGGUGAAAUGUGUUGUAGUAUUUCUUUUCGCGAGAGGAGGGGAGCUUGUUUGUAUUUCUCGUUUAAUGCUUUUCUGGCCAUUGUUGCCACUGUAUUCCUCCUCAUGUAUCCUGGGAAGACAUCGAAAACUCAGACGGAUGUCAGGGCGCAAGCGAAGCAUGAAUAAGCCAACAAGAUGGCAGUUGUUAUUAUCUAAAAAAGAAGUUGUUGA